CCUACGGGGGGCAGCAGUGGGGAAUAUUGCACAAUGGGCGCAAGCCUGACGCAGCCAUGCCGCGUGUGUGAAGAAGGCCUUCGGGUUGUAAAGCACUUUCAGCGGGGAGGAAGGCGGUGAGGUUAAUAACCUCAUCGAUUGACGUUACCCGCAGAAGAAGCACCGGCUAACUCCGUGCCAGCAGCCGCGGUAAUACGGAGGGUGCAAGCGUUAAUCGGAAUUACUGGGCGUAAAGCGCACGCAGGCGGUCUGUCAAGUCGGAUGUGAAAUCCCCGGGCUCAACCUGGGAACUGCAUUCGAAACUGGCAGGCUAGAGUCUUGUAGAGGGGGGUAGAAUUCCAGGUGUAGCGGUGAAAUGCGUAGAGAUCUGGAGGAAUACCGGUGGCGAAGGCGGCCCCCUGGACAAAGACUGACGCUCAGGUGCGAAAGCGUGGGGAGCAAACAGGAUUCGAUACCCGAGUAGUC
rnacentral:rRNA from 1 species